AUAUUUAACAACGCAAAGUUGCUAGGAGUUGGUACCAGCGUUUGGGAGGUAGAGGUGGCGCUCAUGCAUAUUUGAGACAACAUCUGGAUGGUUGGGGAGAACGGUGAUGCCACACUCAAUCAGAAACUAUGCUACUGCUGAAGAGGUAUAUUGAGCCCUGCCUGGUUAACCUCCAGUGAGGUUAUUAGAGAAUUGGGAGAGGCUCAAAUCAGCAUCCUGCACCUAGUUAUCAAACCAUUGUGAAGUCUUGAUUCCUGGAUGGCCAGAAAACUUGUCAUUGGUCAAGAGCAACAUUAAGAUCUGCCUGUUACUCAUACUGAUGCUUCCUGCCCAGCAAGUUCAUCAGAGGGCGAGGAUGAAUUACGGUUGCCAUGAAUGUCCUUGUGAGGCAGUUGGGAAGCCUUGGCUGGAUUGUGAAGGAUAUUUGAAAAGUAUUUUAGAGUCCACCAGAUCAUCCAUGUGAGUGACCAUGCAGCAAAAGAAGGAGGGUCCUCUCAGUGAUUAAGGAUUAUGAAGUAUUAAUUCUUCCACUGAUAUCUCAAAAGGUGAUCUGGACAAAGG
rnacentral:lncRNA from 10 species